rnacentral:rRNA from 1 species
UACGUAGGGCGCAAGCGUUGUCCGGAAUUAUUGGGCGUAAAGAGCUCGUAGGCGGUCUGUCGCGUCCGUUGUGAAAACUCGAGGCUCAACCUCGGGCUUGCAGUGGAUACGGGCAGACUAGAGUGCGGUAGGGGAGACUGGAAUUCCUGGUGUAGCGGUGGAAUGCGCAGAUAUCAGGAGGAACACCGAUGGCGAAGGCAGAUCUCUGGGCCGUAACUGACGCUGAGGAGCGAAAGCAUGGGAGCGAACAGG